rnacentral:lncRNA from 1 species
CCGAGGUUUUGUUGCAGGCUGGGUUUGUCUUCGCAUGGAACAGGUUUAUCAGGUUAUUAGUGCAUUUCGUGUGUUUUGGGAAAAUUACCGAAAGCCGUGGUUUUUAAAAUUCUAUUAUCGUAAAUCAGGUCAUAAGGAUUCUUUUUACGAAAAUCAGGUAUUAUUUAAGCACACUCACAUCUCUCUCUCUCUCUCUCUCUACCCUAAAAUCUGCACGUCAUGAGGAAAAACUUAGCGAAGGCAAAGCCAACCACGGCCUUCAGAGAAGACCGCCAUCCCGACGUAGUAACUCCUCAAUUCAAGCCAAUAAAUUUUCAUAUUAUUUUUUAUAAUUGGAAUUUCACAAUCAUUUCAGGUUCUUGAGAUCUUUGUGUACGUGCUUUUGCUGUAUUUAAUUAGAGGUAGUUGUAAAGGAAUCGGAGCGUUUGGUUUAAAUUCAGUGCUUAAUGGUGCCGUUCUCCUUUUCUUCUUGAAUUUCUUUGUCAAAAUGCAUAUUUGGAAUGGAAAACUUGGUGGUGGCGGCGGCAUCACUGUGAAAGAAGCUGAGAGGAUAUUUUAGAUAUGUGGUAUUCUUUCUUCUUUUCUUCUGGAGUUCAUAAUUAGUGCUGCAAUUGAUCUCUUGGCAAAUUCUGAUUUUUAGAUAUAAUGAAUUGAGAAUAGUUCUAUAUGUACAGAAAAUUUCUGUAAGCGAAGCAUUGGUCAUGAAUUUAUUAAUUAGAGAGGAGACCUUAACACUGAAACCUCUCAACUGCAAUGCAAAGGAACCAAUGAAUGAAGAAAACUCAAGGGGGAGGGGCUACUUGUUGCCAAUGGACAAUGGUAGCUUACCUGAUAAGGGAGAUGGAAGCAGCUGGAAGAGUCCCCUUGAACAAAUGCGGCGAUGGCAAAUGAACAGGACGACAUUGGUAAGCCAAAACUUUCUUCUUCACAUAAUAAAAAUAUGGCAAUGGUACAUGAUUAUCUGGAUUCUUUCCAAAUUCUUUUGGUUCAUGACAGGCAUCUUCAACCGUUGGCACGCCUGAUUACAUUCUCCAGAAGUAUUGUUAAUGAAGGUAACGGUUUGGACUUGGAGUCGGGGGCGGAGCCAAGAAUCAACGUUGCGGGGGACAAUUUUUUUUUUUUAAAUUUAAUGUAUAAAUAAAAUUCAGA